rnacentral:rRNA from 1 species
GAUGAACGCUGGCGGCGUGCUUAACACAUGCAAGUCGAACGAUGAAGGGGGCUUGCUCCUGGAUUAGUGGCGAACGGGUGAGUAACACGUGAGUAACCUGCCCUUGACUCUGGGAUAAGCCUGGGAAACUGGGUCUAAUACCGGAUAUGACCUUCCAUCGCAUGGUGGUUGGUGGAAAGCUUUUGUGGUUUUGGAUGGACUCGCGGCCUAUCAGCUUGUUGGUGAGGUAAUGGCUUACCAAGGCGACGACGGGUAGCCGGCCUGAGAGGGUGACCGGCCACACUGGGACUGAGACACGGCCCAGACUCCUACGGGAGGCAGCAGUGGGGAAUAUUGCACAAUGGGCGAAAGCCUGAUGCAGCGACGCCGCGUGAGGGAUGACGGCCUUCGGGUUGUAAACCUCUUUCAGUAUGGAAGAAGCCGCAAGGUGACGGUACCUGCAGAAGAAGCGCCGGCUAACUACGUGCCAGCCGCCGCAGUAAGAC